rnacentral:misc_RNA from 1 species
GAUGAAGAACGUAGCGAAAUGCGAUACGUAAUGUGAAUUGCAGAAUUCAGUGAAUCAUCGAGUCUUUGAACGCACAUUGCGCCCCCUGGAAUUCCGGGGGGCAUGCCUGUUCGAGCGUCUCAGGGACGAACCCUCGCGCGGGUGUACGCGCGGUCGUGGCUGCGGUGGCGUGCCCGAGGCGGCGGCCACCGCGCUGGAAUCCAUGGGCGGACGCCUGCCGCGUGGCCGAGCGUGAUAUGACGCAUGGGCGCUCGCACGCGGAGAGGCUGCCAGCCCUGGCCCGUCUGUCGGGCGGGGGAGAGCAAGACACGUGAACUCCUCGAAUCAGGUAGGGAUACCCGCUGAACUUAAGCAUAUCAAUAAGCGGAGGA